rnacentral:rRNA from 1 species
UACAGAGGUCCCGAGCGUUGUUCGGAUUCACUGGGCGUAAAGGGUGCGUAGGCGGGUCUUUAAGUCAGGGGUGAAAUCCUGGAGCUCAACUCCAGAACUGCCUUUGAUACUGAGGAUCUUGAGUUCGGGAGAGGUGAGUGGAACUGCGAGUGUAGAGGUGAAAUGCGUAGAUAUUCGGAGGAACACCAGAAGCGAAGGCGGCCAACUGGCCCGAUACUGACGCUGAGGCGCGAAAAGCGUGGGGAGCA